UCACUUACAUGCCAAGUCCUGUUUUUUGUGU
rnacentral:piRNA from 1 species